rnacentral:lncRNA from 1 species
AUAAAAUGACCAUACUAACCUUUAUAAUAUACAAAAUUUUCUUUACAAUUAAUUACUUCUAUUCCUCCAUCUCUUUCCUUGAAUCCUUCACAGAAACAGAAAACGGUCAUCUCUCUCUUUAAUGCCGUGAUCUGCACUUUCUGAACUCUCUCAUUUUCACAAAUCUGAACCAUAAAUUAAGCAUGGAGCAAUCUAUGUGAGAGCAAGGCCUUCAAAAAUGAAAUUACGAACAAAUAAAUGAAUUUAAGCAUAGGCUAAUUUCCUUUCCCUUUCUCAUGGUAGAGAUGCCAUUAUUGCUAUUUCAUUAUUUUUUUUUCCUUUUCCUAUCACCGGCUCAUGUACGGCUAGCAGCGACCUCCUCCCUUUGCCUCCCCGCCGUUCUCUCUCUCCAUUUCUUUUCCGAUUGGAGCAAUGACAGGGUGUGAGCUGCCUUCGUUUUCCGAAUGGAGUGGCUCCACCUCAGUCUCCUUCAAUAUUUUAUUUCAAUUUUCUGGCGAGACCACGGACCGACCGGUUAGACUCUUCGACCGCUCCCUCCUCCUCUCUUGUCGAACGAAGCAGGCCAUAGGUCCAAGAGUUGAGCUAACGGGAUGGAAAAGAGACAUUUUCGCUGAUAACGUGAUUCUCCGGCCAACCUUGAUUGGUUGCUCGCCGGAAACUAAGAGGCGGCUGAGGAGACACUGGACCAAAGCUUGCGAUCUCAUACCACGUUACCCAAGAGAAAAGGAAAGUCUUUUUUGUGGUUUUGUUUCAAUUAGCUAAUUCUAGAAGGAUUUUAGUUUGGGUUAGUAAUUUUUUAUGGUUUCGGUUGAAACUGUCCAAUUAGCUAAUUCUAUAAGGGUAGAAUUGUCUUUUUGUUUGUUUUCUUUGACCUUAAUUUAUGAGGUAGACUAAUUUUGGACAGAGGGAGGUAGUUGUGCUACAGAUAAUUAAUUUAGGGAGAUGUGUUAGUUUUAAAAUAUUAUAUAAAUAUGAUUAUAAUUUAGAGAGGUAUUUUUUUUUUCUCCUUUAUCCUUUUAACCUAUGGCACAUUAUGUUUUUUUUUUUUUCUUUUGCAUUUUUUUUUUCUUCUUCUUCUUUAUGGCGGGCAUGAAAUCUGCCUCCGGCGUCAGGAUGGGCAUAAGAGUUGUUGUUGAUAGCUUCACCGGAUUUGAUUCCAUUGCUGUUUCUGUGUUUUGUUUCUGUUCUUCUUCUUCUUAUUAUUAUCUCGAUUUAAAUUCUAUUUUCAUUUUUGUUCUUCUUCUUCUUUUCUUAUUAUCUAGAUUUGAUUUCAACUACCAUAUAAUUGUCACAAUUAUGAAUAUUUUUGGACCAAAUUUUAAGCACAUACCUUCAAAUCAGUUUGUAUAUUCAAUAAUGUCAUUCCUAAAGUACUUAUCAGCAGUCAUAAAACUUAUUUGAUAAAGAAAGAAAACCCUAAUUGAAAUAACCUGAUGAAUACAUAAAGUAAGAUUAAAUAAUACUUCUUCUGUCUUAUAUUUUCUAUCCUGAUUUCUUUUCUCAUUUAUUCUAAAUUAAUAUUCUAUAUUCUUUUUUAGAAGAAGAUAAUUUUUAAAUUUUUUAUUUUAUUCCUAUUUCAAAAACUAUUGUCUCAAAUGCAUUUUUAAUACCGUGAAAGUCAAACCAGAACAUUGUACGACCUAAGGAGUACUUAAUUUAUUAUAAUUAUAUCCAAUAUAGAUAUUUAAUUUUAUCGAUCAAGAAUCUCAAGUAAAAAAAAAGUACGAGGAAUUCUUCGAGGUGUCAAAAUGGGUUAUAAUAUGCGAAUACAAUUUGUCUAACAUGUGAAAUAAAUGAGUGAGGGUUGAGGUUAAACGAGUUCGUGUCAUAAAUGGUGACCCAUUUAUGACACGAAUAUAAACGUAUCGCUUCACGGGUUGACAUAUGGGUUAGGCGAGUGAUCCGUUUACUUUAGGGUAAAGAGAAAAUUUUAAUGUCAAAUAUAAAUACACAACUAAAAUCCUAUUUAAAAUUUAUUGUUAUAUUAAUUUAUUGUUACUUUAGUUACGAAUCUGGGAAUAAAAUUUAUUUUUAAAUAUGAUUUGAGUUAAAAAUGUUAAAACUUAAAAAUAUUAUGAGCAGGUUAAGUGAGUCAUAUACAGGCUAAUACGACCUACGCAACUUGUUUAUAAUAUUAGGCGGGUUAUACGGGUCAUAUACGGGUUAAUACAAUUCACUUAACCUGCUUAUGAUAUUAGGUGAAUUACAUGUAUAGUAUUCAUAUCACCUGCUUAAUUUUCAUGUUGUGUUUGUAUUGAGAAAUUUAACACAAUUAUUAAACAAAUUAUGUUUAUAUUAACCCUAACAGUGUUGCGUGUUAAGCAAAUUCAUGUUGAAUUUCUAGUCUAUUUCUAAUGAAUUAAAAAAUAAGAAAAAUAAAAAUUAAUUAAACAAAAUAUCUUAAUUAACAAAAUCUACGAGCAUAUUGAUAAAAUUAUGUAUCUUAAUAUUAAUAAACAUAUUAAUAAAACUUAUCUAAUUAUUAUUUUUUUCACAUUAAGCUAUGAGCGAUCACAUAAGACACUCGAGUGAACUGCUUCAAUUUCUGGUUGAAUUUCUUCUGGCUAGGUGUCAUCUCUAUUGCUAAAUAUAUCACGAUAAGAUAUGUUGCCUUAUUAGCGAUAUGAUGAUAUUUUAGUCUAUCCUAAUAACAGUUCGUAAAAAGCUCUGUAAGUCCAACUGAUGGGAUCAGCAGUGUAUUAGGAGUUCUACCAGCUAUUAGUUCCUGAUUAGAAUCCUAUCCAAAUAUUUUCAAUCUAGCUGUUGGGCCCAAUUAGCUAUCCGCUGCAUCAAAAAGUUAAAACAAACGCCCUCUAAAUAACGACUUUCCCAUUGGACAAACAGCACAUUGGGAAUAGGCCACAUUUUUUCACCCGCAAGCCUUUGCCACGAGUGUGCAGAACAGCCUUUAGCUGCGUCCAACUACCCAUCUUCCUUGUCGUAGUGAAUGAACAUGACGGUAUAUAAUGCAACCACAAAUGAUCUGACUCAACCUUGCUACUUCUAUUUAUAAAAAAUCCAGUAUCAGGAAUCACCUUGUAGUUGUUAUGCACCAAAUAAAGUUCAAAUCCGCAUUGCAUUUCCAUGGCUGUAUCAUUAUCAGAGUCAUAAUCAUCGACUUCAAAAACAGCCCAAAAAGCUAAACCCCUCAAACUUUCCUUGUACCAAUCUCCAGGCAGAUUGAUACUCUUUGAAGGGUGACUCUGCUCGUGCUCAGACCACACUGGAAUCCCACCUCCAGGAAUAAUAACAGUAAAUUCAGUGAAUGAUACCUGCAUCAUACAAAACAAGAAAAUUUAUUUNNNNNNNNNNNNNNNNNNNNNNNNNNNNNNNNNNNNNNNNNNNNNNNNNNNNNNNNNNNNNNNNNNNNNNNNNNNNNNNNNNNNNNNNNNNNNNNNNNNNNNNNNNNNNNNNNNNNNNNNNNNNNNNNNNNNNNNNNNNNNNNNNNNNNNNNNNNNNNNNNNNNNNNNNNNNNNNNNNNNNNNNNNNNCUACAUUGACUAGUUCUGGGCAAUUUUGUGCUUCUACACAAUGUGUCUUGGGCGGAAGAGAUGGCACUGAGACAAGAUUGAUACAUUCUGCCAAACAAAUAACUUGUAGAUUCUUAAGUUUGGCAAAAGUUUGAGAGGGUAAUGUGUAAAAGUAGUUUCCACUCAGGUUUAAUUCCUUCAAAGACUCUAACAGGCCAAAUUCUUUAGGGAUUGAUACUUCUGUCAAAUUGCAGUAGCUGAGAUCAAGACUCGUUAAACAGGAUAAACUUCCAUAAAAAUAUCGUGACAAAUUCUCUCUAGUUUCUUCCAGCAGAUUCUGUUCUGGGUUUACAAAUGGAAAAUUCUCACACUCACGAAAGGAAAGUACUUUAAGCUUUGUAAAAGAGCAUAUAGAGAGUGGUGGCUUUUUCAUUGUCACUUUAUCUAGAUAAAGUUCUUCCAAGUUCUCCAGCCAUUCUAGCUCCUUCAGCAAUGUGUAAUGAUUGGGGCAUCCUGAAAAAUAAAUAGUCUUCAGAUGCAUUAAAUGGCCAAUGCUUGUUGGAAGAUCCCAAAGAUAUUUACAAUUCUUGGCACUCAAAAGAACAAGACCCGUAAGCUUUUCAAUAGAUGAAGGUAGUGCUUGUAUAGCAGUGUCAUCUAGAUAAAGCUCCGACAAGAAUUCCAUAUUAGCCUUAAUCUCAGGAAAUUUCUUAAGCAGUGAGCAUCCAGAGAGUAUGAGAAUCUCAAGAGACAUUGUACGAAGUUCACUUGGAAAGGAUUGAAGAAGUGAGCAGUCUUUCAGAUUUAAUAAUCUGAGGUUUUUGAGAGAACCCAGAGACGGAUGAGCCUGUAUUAAACUUUUGCACCCUUCGAGAAUAAGUACCUCAAGCUUUUGGACCCCAUAAAAAUCUGGUGUCAUAGUGAGUUUCUGACACUGACUGAGUUUGAUGAACCUCAAAUUGUCGAAACACUGUCAAAUAAAAAAGAAAAUCAAACUACUUGGCUGUGAAUCUCACAUCAUAUGGACCAAAAUGAAAAUACUUGACAACAAUACCUUCCUUUCUGUUGGAAGCUUUGUUAUGCUGCUGUAUGACAUAUUGAGUUCAACAAGGUUCACUGGAUAAAAUUUUGAUGGCAAAUUUUGGGGGCAUCCAUGCCAGUACAAGCACCGUAAGUCAUUAGACAAUUUUGAAAACUCUCCAUAAAGAAUUGCACGAGACUUUUUGGGUUGCCUUGUAGCAUAUUUUCUUGAAUUUUGGGUAAGGUAUUCAAAACCCCCAGAAUGGUCAACAUAGCAGAUCUUAAGCACUCUAAGGUGCUUCAUCCUCCAGAAGACUCCGGUAUCAAUAACUAAAUUGCCUACCUUAGACAAAUCCAGGAUCAUACCCUCAAUAUUGUCUGUCGCCUGCAACAUAUAUAGGGAAGAGAUAGUCUUAGAAAAUCAUUUAAGCAUGUAAAAUUGCAAGUUGCAAGUAAAAGAAUUAACUUUCAUGGGAAUGAUUUCUCACCGCAUUUUCUUCCAACACUCGGUACACAUCUCCGUGAUCCCACAAUCUGCUGCGUUCACCGGGCUUUNNNNNNNNNNNNNNNNNNNNNNNNNNNNNNNNNNNNNNNNNNNNNNNNNNNNNNNNNNNNNNNNNNNNNNNNNNNNNNNNNNNNNNNNNNNNNNNNNNNNNNNNNNNNNNNNNNNNNNNNNNNNNNNNNNNNNNNNNNNNNNNNNNNNNNNNNNNNNNNNNNNNNNNNNNNNNNNNNNNNNNNNNNNNNNNNNNNNNNNNNNNNAAGUUUCUGCAAUUCACUUUGCCAUUCAUUUUCAUUCUUGGGACCAAAAAAGGAACCAAGAACCUUCAGAGCUAAAGGAACACCUUCAGCAUACUUCACUAUAAGGCGCGAGAGCUCCAUGAAUUUAAUGAAUUUAUCUACAGGAUAUCUAUUCUGGACGGCAUAUUGAGUGAACAAAGAAAGUGAUUCAUUAUGGUUUAGACAUUUAGGCUUAUAAAUUUCAUCCACUCCACGUGCAAGUAGUAAGUUGCGAUCUGUAGUUGUUAUAAUAAUCCUACUACCAGGACCAAACCAGUCAUGAUCCGCUGCUAAGGCUUCCAACUCUUCGCCAUUAUACACACCAUCAAGAACAAUAAGAACACGCAUAUAUUGUAACCUUUCCCUUAUUGCAUCAAAAUUGCUACCCAGGUUUCUUAUUGUCUGGAUAUCUUCCUUUAAUAGUUUAGAAAGAAGCUGUUCUUGUAAAUGUUGAAGACCGAAUGUUUCUGCUACUUUUCCAACUCUUUCAAGAAAGCAAUAAUUUUUGAAUUGGCAAUAUAUACUGUCAUAAACAGCUUUAGCUAUGGUUGUUUUACCAAUUCCUCCCAUUCCCCAUAUUCCAACUAUGCGAACAUCAUCCAACCCCAGACGUAAUUUUGAUUUCAUUUCCUCUAUUCUGGAAUCCAUUCCAACUAGGCCUUUAGCUCUUUUGGGGGACGUACGACUCAGUUUUUUCAGGAUAUAGAUUACAAUUUCAUCAAUAAGAGUAGGAAUAUCCCUGCAGAAUUGGAAACGGAUGAAAUGAAAAGGUCAAACAAAAACAUAAAUAAAAAGACUGACAAAAUGCAAUUUAAGGUGCCCAGAAAUGAAGAAGAUUAUAAGCAGAGUGUUCACAGUCCAACUACAAAAUGAACAUCAACAAAGCUAUUAUAAAAUGGAAUGUAUUACCUAUCUCUCGCAUCCCAUCCAGAUUUGUUGCCUGCCUUUAGAAGAGCUAAUGUCCACCCCUCAACCUUCUCAGGAUAUUUAGAUAUUGACUUGGCAAAAUUUUUUCCAAACCUACCAGUCUGCUUUCGCACAUCUGAUGGAUCCACAUUGUAGAAUAUUGGCAAAACUGUAUCUCUCAUUGUAUAUUUCUGUUCUUCCGUCUCUGAAUCUGGGAUACGUUCAGUGAUCUUCAUGAGUUCAUCCAAGCAAAAAGAGGAAGAACCAUACUUCUUAGAAAGAACUACGACACAAAAUCUCGACUCCUGAAUCGCUUUAAGGAGUGCAGGAGUGAUUAUUUUCCCUUUGUCAAGACUCCUAUCAUCUUUGUAGGUUCUAAUCCCUUUUUCAGUCAAAGCGUUAUACAAAUUGCUAACAAACUCGUGCCUGACUUCACCUCUGAAACUCAAGAAAACGUCAUAUUCCCAAGAACUGGAAGCAACAGCAACUUUUGCAGCAUCCGGAGCAGUCACAUGAGCUUUAUGUGUAGUUUUCACGGUAGCAGAAUCAGAGGUUAUGGCCGCCGGAGUUGCAGAAUGUGCAGUCAUAGUUUCCACACUUACAGAAGAAAAAGAAGACGGUGCAGUCAUAGUCUCAGCUCCAGGAUCCACGGUAGAAUAGCCCGCAGCUCCACCGGUGCUGAGGUUAGAACCCAUAGGAGAGUACAAGAAAAGGAAUAACUGGACGAAUGGGAACUGAAAAUGUUCAAAAUUUUUAACAUAACCGCGUUCGAUGAAGCAAUUUAUAGAUAAUUAAGGGAAUCGAGAAAAUUUGACUUGGACAAUUCACAUGCAGAAUACUGAACAAGUCAACUAACAUUUUAACAAACAGCUGAGGAAUUUUUAUUAAUGCUAAUAUUGUUCGUACAAGUAACAACAGGAUGCUCUUUCGGAUUUUGUCGGGAAGUGCCAUGUAACUUCGUUUUCAACCUUCAGUUAAUCAUUAAAGCCAUGCCUCAAUCGGAUCCUCACACGACACUGCCGGAGCCACGGGGGCCUGUGGGCCACCGCCCCCCUGACUUCGAUAAAACUUUCUAGGGCGCCUUCAGUCACAUCAUCACGUUUGAAGUCCUGAGAUCAAAAAGCCAGAGGCUGCAGUUUUUUGGUUUUUUUUUUUUAAUUUUAUUUUUUAGUUUAGUUAUUUAUAUAGUUUUAGCUAGUUAUUUUUAAUUAGUUUUUAUAUAUAAGAAAAGUUUUAGUUAAUUUUUAUAUAAAUUCAAUUAACUUAAAUAUAUAUAUAAAGGCAUCUAAAGUUUCACAAUUUUAAUAAAUUAUGUUUUGUUUCUAUUGGAUGACUUAUAUCAUUAAUUUUAAUUUUACAUUCUUUUUUAAAUUUAGCUUUGAAUUUUGAAUUUGAUUCCAUUAUAUGAAUACAUAAAAUUCACAUAAAUAUUAAAAUAUAUAAUAGUAUUAUAAAUUUAUAUUUCAAUUGCUUAUUAUUUGCUAUUUAAUUAAAAUAUAACAACUUAAACAAACUUUAGAAUUAUAAAUUCAUUGAAUAAACACAUAUGAUAUUUUAUUUAUUCAAAAAGAUAGAUUUAAUAUUUCAGUCCAUGAUUCUAUUUUAAUAAUUUUUAGAAAAUAAUAUAAAAUUGAAUUGAUUAAAUUUUAAAAUUACAAUAAAAUAUAUUUAAAAUUUUAAAUACAAAUAUUUAUUUUCAUUGUAAUUUCUAAUGUGUAAAUUUGAGGAUAUUAUUUCUUUUCUAUUGAAAUCAUUAUGUAUGCUAAAAAAAUUUCUAUUAUUUUGUUGUUAUCUAUACUAUUUUCAUUAAAAAAAUUUUGACCACAUCGAAUAUAUUUGUUUAAGUAAUUAUAUUUUUAGUUACUUUUUUAAAUAAAUUUAUUUUUUAUUCACCUUAUGAAGAAAAAAAAUAUUUUCAUCCCCUAUAAAAAAAUUCUUGCUCCGUCACUGCUCACAUGCUCUUUUUCUCCUGGGUAGUGGUUAAACCAGCAAGGUCUUUUUUUUUUUUGAGAAUAGGUUAAACAAGCAAUGUUGUUGUUUGCGGCAGAAGGAAAUAAAAAAAAAAAUCUAAAUUAAUCAACCAAAGAUGAAAAAAAAAAAAUAAUAAUAUGCUGGGAUAAUACAGGAUCCAAAAAAUCAGGAUAUAUAGUAUGAACCCAUGUGACAGAUUGUAUGUUUUUUGUAUGAUCCAAAAAAUCAGAACCCCAAAUUAUGAGUUUUUGUAAUUUUAUCCAUUUUGCAAUUCAAUUCCAAUUAACAGUUUUCCUGCAAUUAUAUUGUGUAAAUCAUUAAAUAUACCCAAAACUUUGCUUCUUUUAAUAAUUACACCCUAAAUGCUUCUCGCCCUCCAAUUGUAACUUUUUGUCACAAUAGUACUCUAAUUGAUAUUGGUCAAAAUCAAUGAAUAAAAUAUAUUAAAUGUGGGUCUCGUAGCUUAUACUUGAGUUAACUUAAUCUAACGAGUAAGUUGGAUAAAUUAUAAAUACCCUAAACUUUGGUGUUUGUGACAAUUGCACCUCAAAAUGACUUUAAUUCUUAGAUACUCCAAUUUUAACUUUUUAUUACAAUUGCACCUCGAAUUCAAAUUAUGAAAAUAUACUGUCAUAAUUGCGCCUUGAAUUCAAAAUUAGAAAUCACAUUUAAUUACAAUUUCACUUUAAAUUCAAAUUUUAUCUUAUUUUAAUAGAGCAAACCCUAAAUUACCAGAAAAAAAAGUAAUCUAUAAGAGAUGAAUUCUGAAAAAGCAAAUUAUGACAAAUAUACUACCAUAAUUAAAUUCUAAAUUCAAAAUUUCAUCUCAUUUUGAUAUUUAAAUCCUAGAUUACUCAAGUAAAUAUGGUGUACUACAAAAACAAUCUUAAACCUCCAAACAUCCAAAUACAAAUUAUGACAAGUUUAUUAAAUAAAAAAUAGAAACUGCGAGUAUUUUGCUUUAUUCUGAACCAAUUGCGGACUAUUUUGCUUUAUUAUGAACUUAUCUCCUUUUAAUUAUUUCUUCUCUAGUAAUCUACGGUCGUCCUAUUAAAAUAAGAUAAAUUUUGAAUUUAGAGUGGAAUUGUAAUUAAAUGUGACUUCUAAUUUGAAUUCAAGGUGCAAUUAUGACAGCGUAUUUGCCAUAAUUUGAAUUUGAGGUGCAGUUAUGAUAAAAAGUUAAAAUUGGAGUAUCUAAAAAUUAAAGUCGUUUUGGGGUGCAAUUAUUAUAAACGCCAAAAUUUAAGGUAUUUAUAAUUUAGCCAACUUAUUCUUUGAUUUAAGUUAACUCAAGUAUGAGUCAUGGAAUCUAUAUUUAAUAUAUUUUAUUCAUUGAUUUGACUAAUUUCAAAUUAGGGAAUAAUUAUGAUAAAAAAUUACAAUUGAAGUGUCUAGGGGAUUAAAUUGAAUUUAGGGUGUAACUAUUAAAAGACGUAAAGUUUAGAGUAUAUUUAAUUGUUUACCCCAUUUAUAUCAUGAUCAGUCAGCACCAUAAUGAUUCCAUUCCUACAACCAAAAGCCAAAUAUUUAUCUCAAAUGAGAAUGUUUCAGAUCAUGCUCUUGUUAAUAAAUACAAUAUUUUCAUUUUUUUUAUGAGCAAAAAUUUCUUUUAUUAUUAAAAUCCAAAAAAAAAUUAAUAUAGCCAAGCAUUUAAACCCAGGUCAUCAGUCCUCCUCAAUAAACCCAUCCUAUCUCAAAGAUGCUAAGUGAAAAAACUCGAUAAAUUAUAUAUCAGCUUGAAGUCUUUUUCGAGAUAACUUAGGCAAUAAAUUAAGUGUCAUCAACUAUGGAUGUGACUGAAUCAAGUUAGAUUUGCAUUCAUUAAUCUUACAGAUAGGAAUGAUUAUUAAGAAUUAGCAGAGCGUUGCUCAAACUAAUAUAGACAAAGUAACAUUCAGUCAAAGAUUCAUUUAAUUUUAUAAUUAAUGCUCAAACCCAAGACUGUCAUUGUAAAGAAAGCAUUUUGCAUCGACUAUAUCAGUCUUUUUACUGAACUAAAAAAUUAGUUAUAUUCAAGAAAUUCAUAAUAUUCAUAAGAAUUCAAAUAGUUGAUAUAUGUAACAAAUUUUAAUUUUAAUAUUAAAUUGAUUAGAUAUAAUGAACCAUGAGACAGGUCAAUGAAAGUGAUAAAUAAAUUCAUAGUCAUAGAUUGUUAUAAUGAAUAAAAAUUUAACAUGUCCAAGAAAUUCAGAAUAUAAAUAUUCAUUUUUUUACUCUUAUAAAUAUUAAUAUCUAUAAAUAUAAAUAAAUAUUAGUUCUUUUCAUUUUUUUACUCUUAUAAAAUUUGUAUAGAUUUUUCUGUGAAUAUAAAUCUAUAAAUUCUGAAGCAUAGAAGCUAACUUUGCAUAAUAUUAGAGUAUUAUUAAUGUUGAAUCGACAUUAUUUCUAUUUUUAUAUUUUAACUGAUUUUUUUUACAUUAAAAUUUUGCCACAAAUUAUUUACUUUCUACUGCGUAUUAAAAGCUAUUUGAGUUGAGAAAAUUCAAAUGCUAUUUGCUUUUUAGAUAACAUGUCAAGUUAUACAUAAGAGAAUUUUUUUUAAAAUUGUAUUAAGCUUGCAAGAAGCAUUUUGGGUAUAGAAAAUAUAUUUACUAUACACGUUAGUUCAAGUUCAAUUUUGACAUGUUUUUAAUAUUUAUAAAUUAUCUAAAAUUCUACUUUUACAUCAUAAAUAGAAAUUUUAACGGCAACAAUAACACAUCUUUCACGAAUUAUAUUAUACUGAUCCAAAGUAAAAAAUAGUAUUAUCCAUACUUUAAAUUUCAAAUUUAAAUUUUUAUAAUUUUAGCUAUUAAAUUAUUUCAUUUUAGUCGCAUAAUUUUAUUAUAAGUGAUUAAUAAUAAAAUAUUUAUUAAUUUUAAUCAAAUUUUAUAUUAUUAUCCGUGCAAUGCAUGAGUGAAUGACUAGUUGCCAAUAGAUCUUGGGCAAAUAAAAAAAAUAUUUAAUUAGGAUUUUAUAUAUUUUAAAAUGAUAAAUCUUGGUAUGAUUAUUUUUUGAAAUUAUAAAAAUUUUGCAUUAGACGGUAUGAAAUAAAAAUUUUAUGUUGUUGAAAUGAGAAUCUAAUUUAAUUUAAAUCAUAAAAUCAGAGAAUGAAAGAGAACAAAAAUAAAUAACACGAUCAAUUUUUUUUCUUUUAUUAUAGGGUGGGCCCAUGCCUACACUAGGUAUAGUGUACAUCCGGGGCCUAAAAACAACUAAAAUGCAUUGAGGUAAGAUCAUUGCAUGUACACGUAUUUCUAUUUUGUUUUAAAUACCAUGUAGGUCCAAUAUAUUAAAAAAUGCCAAACGUUUGCCCGGUAGAAGCCAUUAGGCAUGGCCACGGGUUCAGUUUUAAUCGAAAUUAAAUCGGAAUCGAACUGUAUUGUAGACGAACCGAAACCGGCGGGGGGGAAUUUUAAACCGGAACCAGUAGUUCAAUUAAGGUUCAUGUGAAUCUUAAAAUAUGAACCGGAACCGGCGGUUUUGGUCCGGUUCGAACCGGAUGCACAAAAAAAUUGUAGCUUAAAAUUUUUAUUAAAAAAUUUAUAUUACUUGAUUUAAUUGUAGUUGAUUUGAUUUAUGGUGAAGAGAAGUACAAUGGUUCAUAAGUUAUACAAAGUGGUGAAAAAAAAUACACAUUUUUUUACUUAAUUUAUACAAAAAAUGGUACAUGAAUAGUUGAUUUAUAAAUAAAAAAAAAAUACUUUCGAUUGUAUAAAAAAAUAGUGUAACGAAUAUUUUUUGGUAUAAUAUGUGUUUUUUUAUUUAUUUUUUGGUAAAUAAAUUUUAUUAUUUUUUAAUCAUUUAUUUAUUUAUUUACUGUAAUUUACUAAAUUAUCCAAAAAUAUAGUUGUUAUUUUUCUAUUAUAAGGGACAAUUUGGAAAACUAAUAAAUGAGAAACAUGUAUAAAUAUGAUGAGUUGAUGAUUUUUUAUUUCACAACCAAUUAUAUCAUAACUCUUCUCUUAUUCUCAAUCAAAAUUCUCUCAAAUUUCCAUAUUUCAUUAUUUUUUCUAUUGCUUUAUUUUUCUUAAUAUUGGAAUUAUCUAUUGUUUAUUUUUUAUUUUCUUACAUCUAAUUCCAAAUUCUUUCUUUAAUCUCAAUUUUUUCCAUUCAUAAAUUUACUUCAUUUGAUUUUUUUAAUAAUUUUCUUAGUAUUUGAAAAUAAUAAUUUCCAACUCAUUUCAUUAAUUUUAUAUUCCAUUUAUAGUUUUCUAUAUUAGUGAAUUAGCAAAAUUUGUAAAUUUAAUAUAAUAAUAGUUCUAAGUUAGUUAAUAGAAGUUUUUCUUUUAAAAUUUUAUAAUAAUUUAUUUAGUUAAUAAAAUUUAAACAUUUUAAAAUUAUUAUUUAUUUAUGAAUUCGGAAUCAAAAUUUUAUUAUUUUUUUAAAUUUGCGUAAUGCCGGAACCAAAUCGGAACCGUAAUUCGAGAACCGUAAUUCGAACCGUUGUUUCGCCGGAACCGUGCCGGAACCGGAUGUUUAAAGGCCGAUUCCGGUUCAAAAUUUUAAACAUCUCGAACCGGCGGUUCAGUGAACCGAAACCGGCGUUUCACUGAACUGGCCAUGCCUAGAAGCCAUGCAUUAGUGCUCAUAUAAAAUAAGGAAUAAUGUUAAAUUAAUAAGGAAUAUAAAAUAUUUUAAAAUAAUGAUCUAAUUUUAUAUGAAUUAUUUUUUAUUAAAGUUAUUAUAGUGCUACAAACGCGAAACUUUGGGUCCAUAUCGUGCUUUAUUGUUCGCAUGAUAGAAAGGAUGAAUACGUUUGCUUAUUCAAUCGAGGGAUAUUAUAGUAUAUAUCAGAUUUUAAACUUUAUUUAAAAAAAAUAUCAGUUUAACUAAACUAUUACAUUAAUGUGAGUUUUAUCAUUCAUUUACCUAAUUAUCCUUUGAAAAAAAAAAAAAAAAACCUCUUUACAUUAUAGUCAUAUUUACACAUGCCUCCUUCAAUAUUUUGAAACUGACUUUAACAUUCCUAAUUUUCACUUUCACUGCACAAACGCAUCUUUCCAUCUAAAAUUACUCAAAUUUCCGUCAAACGGCAAAUAAAAUGACCAUACCAACCUUGAUAAUGUACAAAAUUUUCUUCACAAUUAAUUACUUCUAUUCCUCUAUCUCUCUCCUUGAAUCCUUUACAGAAAAGAAACGGUCAUCUCUCUCUCUUUAAUGCCGUGAUCUGCACUUUUUGAACUCUCUCAUUUUCACAAAUCUGAACUAUAAAUUAAGCAUGGAGCAAUCUAUGUGAGAUCAAGACCUUCAAAAAUGAAAUUACGAACAAAUAAAUGGAAAUAAAUGAAUUUAAGCAUAGGCUAAUUUCCUUUCUCUUUUUCAUGGUAGAGUAGAGAUGCCAUUAUUGCUAUUUCAUUAAAUUUUUUUUCCUUUUUCGAUCACCGGCUCAUGUCCGGCUAGCAGUGACAUCCUCACCGCCGCCUUUGCCUCACCGCCGCCUUUGCCUCACCGCCGUUCUCUCUUUCUCCAUUUCUUUUCCGACUGGCACAAUGAUAGAGUGUGAGCUACCUUCGUUUUUCCGAAUGGAGUGGCUCCACCUCAGUCUCCUUCAAUAUUUUAUUUUAAUUUUCUGGCGAGACCAAGGACCGACUGGUUAGACUCUUCCACCGCUCCCUCCUCCUCUCUUGUUGAACGAAAAGCAGGCCAUAGGUCAAAGAGUUGAGCUGACGGGAUGGAGAAGAGAUUAUUUUCGCUGAUAACGUGACUCUCCAGCCAAGCUUGAUUGUUUGCUCGCCGGAAACUAAGAGGCGGCCUAGGAGACGCUGGACCAAAGCUUGCAAUCUCAUAUCACGUUACCCAAGAGAAAAGGAAAGUCUUUUUUGUGGUUUUGGUUCAAUUAGCUAAUUCUAGAAGGUUUUUAGUUUGGGUCAGUAAUUUUUUAUGGUUUUUAUGGUUGACCUUAAUUUACAAGGUAGACUAACAGGAAAGUAGGCUAAUUUUGAACGGAGGGAGGUAGUUGUGCAACGGAUAGUUAAUUUAGGGAGGCAUGUUUUUUUUUUUUUUUUUUUUUUUUUUUUGACAUUGAAAUAUUGCUCAUAUAUUAUUAAGAGAAGAACGAGCAAUACAAGCGGGAAUAAUAUUCCAAGUUCGAAAACAAGCCCCACUAGGAACUGAUUUAGUCAAAACAUGAGCUAUAUCAUUAGCUUGUCUUCUAAUCCAAUCCAAAGUGACAUAGCAUUUAAACUAAGAGUAACUUACAUUCAGAGAUGACAACUCCAAACUCAGACAAGUCUUGGACAGAACUCCUUAUAGCAUAGUAAACUUGCAGGCAAUCAAUCUCAAUCUGAAACGACAAACUAGAGUAGUCUGACAGCAACCAGGACAAAACAUUUCUUAGCGCUUGAGCUUCUGCUAAUGCUGGAGAAGAGCAACCCUGCAAUGAUGACGCUGCUGCUGAUACAAAUCCGCCAUGACAGUUUGAAAUUACGGCACCAAAAGCUCCAUGGCCAACAGAGGGGAGGAGAGCUGCAUCAAAAUUUAUUUUAAAGGUGUCGGCAGGUGGCGGGAGCCAUUGAUUACCUGCAAAAACACCUAUACUUGAAUCAGACGACUUCAGCUGGGGUUUCUUCCAAGAGGCUAGCAUGCUUCUAGCUCGAGUAAUCACGUGAUAAGGUCCUUCUUCUACUUGAUUCCAUUUCAACUCGUUAUGGCUCAACCAAACACUCCAAAGUCCCAUAAUAAAACUCUCAAAGAACUCAAUCUCCCACACCUUGUAUAAAUAUGACUAUAAUUUAGGGAGAUAUUUUUUUUUUCUCAUUUAUCCUUUUAACCUAUCGCACAUUACUUUUUUUUUUCUUUUUUAUUUUUUUUUCUUCUUCUUCUUCUUUAUGGCAGGCGUGAAAUCUGCCUCCGGCGGCAGGAUUGGCAUAAGAGUUGUUGUUGAUUGCUUCACCGGAUUUGAUUCCAUUUCUGUUUCUGUGUUUUGUUUUUGUUCUUCUUCUUCUUAUUAUUAUCUCGAUUUGAUUCUAUUUUCUUUUUUGUUCUUCUUCUUCUUUUCUUAUUAUCUAGAUUUGAUUUCAAUGUAAAAUAUUUUGAUUUCAACUACCAUAUAAUUGUCACAAUUAUGAAUAUUUUUGGACCAAAUUUUAAGCACAUACUUUCAAAUCAGUUUGUAUAUUCAAUGAUGUCAUUCCUAAAUUACUUAUUAGCAGUCAUAAAACUUAUUUGAUAAAGAAAGAAAACUCUACCUGAUGAAUACAAUUUUAAAAAUAAAUUUAAAAAUUGAAGCGUUUAAUAGGUAUAAUUUUAUAAAUUGAAGUGUUUGAUGGGUUAAAAUAAAAGUUUAUGGUACUACAAGGUUAAAGUAACAAAAUUCAAGGUUGAAUUUAUGUAUUCCGCCUUUCAUCAUCAAAUUUCUUUUUUAGAUAUUAUGUUUGGAAAUUAAAAAAUGCAUUAGAGAAUUACUUUUCUACUAUUGAUUCUAGUAAAAUUUUAAAAAAGCAUUUUUUACAGAGGUAAAUGGAGUAAUUAAGUACCUUUCACAUUUGUUUAUAGAGGUAAAUGGAGCUUGGUGGGUAGAUGAUGGAUACUUAGUUGAGAAAUGGUUGUCAUGCAUUUGGAAAUCUCUUGUUUUGAAAGCUAAAGAUUUUUAACAGCUCAUCUAACCUUUCAUUCUCACUAGCUAAUUCCACUUGGCGGCUGGCUAACAAAUCAAAGUGGGUUUAAGUCAUCCUGUCUGCCAAUCACUAUUACUUUAUCACUAUUGCUUAUUCUUCUAGAAAUUGGUUUUUAUGUUUUAUUAUUUUUUUUAAAAAAAGAAUAUACAUAUAUAUAAACUUUUUACAAAUUAUUCCUGUUGCAUUUCAUUUUUCUGUUAUUCUAACGCUGAUUUUCAAAAAUAUCAAUGUAUUUUCAAAUUUUUCUUUUUUUCUAAACAUUUUUAAAUUAAUAAUUGACACCAAAUAGGAGUUGCAUUUUCUAUUUUAAAGUAUGGUUGGCAACAAUUAAAUUUCUUUGUAAUUAUUAUUUACUUUUCAAUUUAUAUCAAUCAACCCGUUGGGUUAAAUAUAAUCCUGUUUACACCGUGUCCGGCUAAUAAAAGGAAGCUCUAUUUACAAGAAUUUUAACACUCACCUUUUUACUUGAAAAACUCGAGUCAUUUUCACUCAAAUUAAACCUAUUACAUUUUUGUAAUUAUUUUGAUUCACAAUUCAUUUUAUAUAUAACAUUUUAUUUGUAAAUUUUAAAUUAAUAGUUUAAAUAUUUUUUAAGUUAUUUGAGAGGUUGUAUAUUUCUUAUUAACUAGCCGGUGAUUUAGCAAAUGAAACGACAAACAUUAACGACAGUCCGAUUAUCCCCAAUUUAGUCCUCCUGUCGUUACAAAGAAAACGACAUGUCUUUGUUGUAAAUGAAUUAGGACACAUGAGAGCAACACAAGAAGGCUAAUGUGACUGUUCUUUGAUCGUUUGACAAAAUGUAGAUUACCAUCUUCAACAAACUAGUACUCGGUUAUAAAUUAUAUAAUUUUCAUUAAUUCAUGCACUUAGACACUUGAUUAUGAAUUUAAUACUUAACCAUAAAAACAAUUACACAAAUGGUUCAGUUGUUCACAAUAACAGUAAACAGUAAAAUUCACAUAUCCAUCCAUUAUGAAACAAAAACAGACCAUUAAUAUAUAUGAAGCAGAAUGCAAUGGUGAAUCUAUCAUUUUAUAUCGGUAAACAUGAGAGUGUUUAUCUUAUCAAUACCAAUAUCAGAAAUGGGCUCAAUGGGUUGCUCGUCUACAGUGGUCGAAGGAACAGAAUUUACAGGUUCUCUGCUGAAUUCAUCUGCAAAAUAAAAGGGAUGAUCAUAUAACAGUUGCCGGUAUCACGGGUGUGAAAUACUAUGGUAAAAGUGCUUGCAUAUAUCACUACAGUUACUGAAUAAGUGGAAACUGUUAGAUUAUUGAUUGUAGUUUACUAAAUUUUAUUAAAAUCAACUUCCGAGGGGUGAGAUGGAAUGAGAUGAAUCCCUUCUCCUUUAACCAGAAGCCUCGAGUUCGAGCCCCGGAUAUGGAGUCUUUUUAAACACUUGGCAGGAAGCGCUUUGCCUGCCAUUAGUCGGGCAGUGGACUUCGGACCCCGGAUGGUUAAAACUUUAAAAAAAAAAAAAUUUAUUAAAAUCAAGCAACAUACACAACAAACAAGCCACAACUUACCAUAAAUUGUAAUUAUAGAAGUUGCAGGAGGAGUCGAGAAGAAGUUGAGGCCAAUGUAAAAGAUAAGUGCUAGUACUACGGUAACCAUCGCAUAAGUUGGGAUGGCCAGUGCCCAAUACCUGAAAAUUGCCAGAAACACAAUUAAGAGUAUUUUAGUCGAUGAAAUAGGUUGACACUCAGAGACUUUCAGCUAUUUAAUUGUAUUAUUUAGUCAAGCAAGCAAUGUGUUUUUGGUAGAGCAAAGAAAUUUUACAAUUACCUAAAGCGGAAAAAGAAAUAAGAUAGUGUGCAUAGUACAGACCUAUUGGGAUAAUAAAAGAUCCCAAUUGAGUGUAAACAAGGUUCAGGAACAUAAGCCCAUACCAAGAAAAUAACUGCACAGGCAGAACAAAAGAAAUCAAUAUGAAAUUAGCAGAGCUACAUGCUCUUGAGUAGAAUUCUUAAAGAGAAAAUACCACUAACCAUUUAUAGCUCAAAUUUUAAAAGCAUAAUAAUUUUCAUAUGAGCACAAAAUAUGUAAAAAUAUUUUUAACAUAUUACUGAAUUAAUUUUGUGUAACAGAUUUAUAAAUCUCAUGAAAUCCAGAUGGACAGGAGCAGGAUAAGGCAUUCUGCAAAACCAUUCCUUGGUAAUGGAAGAGAAAUUCAGAUAUUCAAGAAAGCUGUAAUAUUUAUAUGAUUUUAGACAGCAUAAAUUUCAACAUAAUGGAGUUUUAUAAGAAAUGAACCUAUAGCGACAAUAGUUGUAAUAGACCCAACAAAACCGUACACUUCCGAAGUUUUUAGUCCAUGCUCUCCAGACACUCCAAAGCCUGAAGGCUUGUCAUCAGGGUCUUGAAAGGAUACAGUUCCCCUCUUCCUCUUUGAAAAACUAAGGACUCUUCUAGGACUACUAACAGAAUAGUGAUCUUCCACGACUUGCUCUUCAAAUCAAUCUGGCAUUUCCAUGCACUCAGGGAGUCUAACAAAAGUUCACUUAAUUAGUAUCUAACAAUGUUGAACAACAUCAUGAAAAUAAAAAGGGUCUCAAUGAAGCUUCUACGGGGUAAUUCAGUAAUCCUCUAUACCAUCACGUUGUUAUAAAACUGGGGUAAAAAAUCAUGAAAUUCUGAUUCAAGUAAUAUUUAAGCAAAAAUCUGGAGAAUAUGACAAAAAUAAGAGGUAAAAAAAGAAAUUAGCUACCAAGCCAAACAAGAAUUGUUAUUAACAUGAACAAAAAUUUAAUAACAAUCUAUGGCACUGCCUGUGAUUCGAAAGAAAAACGCACAAUCAAAACAGAAAUAGCCAUUGAAAACAUCAGUGGCAUGCUAUUCUUAUCCUCAAUUUCAUACUUUUUACUUGAAACAAGAAGUCAACUUACAAUGAGAAGAUUAAGUUACAAUAUAUAUUCAAAAGGUGAAACAUACACAUACCUCAUACACAAUUUACAGGGUUAAUCUUACCAUUCUAAGACCAAUUGGAGCUUUAUUUGUGAUACGGAUCCAUCAUCACUCGUCGCUGGAUCACAAGGAGGCAUGGUGAACGACGAAGGAGAUCCAUUGGUGCUUCCUAUUGGACCGAUUACAAGGAGCUGUGCCAAGCGAUAUGGGGCAGCCAUAUCAUUAUUUGUUCAAGCCCAAAUAACACAAGAACUGCAUGAUGUUGCAUUCAACAAGUGUUGUGAGGAACUUGAAGGCAUUCCUAGGCUUCUAAUGUUGUUGGUGGCAUGUGAAGUUGAAGCACUCCAAUAAAUUUGUUUGACUUGCUACAGUGGAGGAAAGCACGCCUGCUACAGUGGAUAUCUUGUAUUCCAUGUAAGAAGACGAUUUUUGAGAUAUUGAAAACUUCAUUUGUUUAAGCUUUGCUUGUACUCCUUUGCAUAGAGUGAUAGUGAGAGAUUGCUUCCUCUAAUUGCAUCAAGAAUUAAGGUAAGCUUAUCAACUUGUUUGUGGCGUUUAUCUUGUUCUUUGCUCGAUUAUUGGUGUUACCGUUUCAGUAUAAACGUGGGGUGCCAUAGAGCGUUUAAUCUCGAUUAUUGGUGUUUCCGUUUCAUUAUAAACGUGGGGUGACAGAGAGGCGAACUUAUAUCUCAUUCUUUGAUCCGAUCCGUAUCAAUUUGAUAAACACUAGUCAAGGAAUUCAAAAGUUAUACUACCUUUACAUAAGGAUCCCACCAGCCAUCUGCAAUAUAAUGGGACCUAAUUCUUGAAACUUAGAUAAAUCCCUAGUAUCAUAUAUAUAUGUAUAUAUAUAUAUAUAUAUAUAUACCAGGUCACAUUUUGGCCAGGCCAAUUAUAGUAAUGGCAACCAUUAAGCAGCAAUAUUGAAGUGAUCAUAUAACAGAAUCAACUAACGGCAUUCUGUCCAAUGCAUAAAUUCACAAGAUGCUCAAGAACCAAAAAGACAAACUGAACAAUUAAUUCAUUUGUUUCAUAUUUUUACAUUUUCUCAGAAACAAUAGAUAAUAAAAUCCUUCGUUUAAUAUUGAAAAGACUUAAUUUUCUCUAACAAACAUUUCAUCAAACGAGUGGUGCACGUGCACCAAAAGAAAACACAUAAUACACUAAGACCAGUAACAUCAGAAGUGUGUUUAAUAAAUGCUUCUUUGUUUUUGUUACAAACAGGAGGAAUAAAAAAAAAAAAGGCUAACCUCGAGAUUUAUCUCUCCUGAUUCCGGUGUUAAGUUUUCUCUGAGACGAAGAUCGGAGCAAAGAAAAUUGACCAAAAGAAUGGAGAAGCGGAGAGAACUUCGUCGCGGCUGAAACGCUUUAAAAGGUCGUCGUUUCGAUUGGCCAACUUGGUGGGCUUAGAUUGUAAAUCACGGGCCAAACCUUGUAGGGCCUUUAUAACAAGUGGAUCACUGGUUCAGGCGUUUCUGGAUUUGCCUUAAAUUUUCAGAUAUAAUAUUAGGCGGAAAAGAAAACUGAAAAUCUAGAGUGUAAGAAUGAUUUAGGCGAAUUGCUUAUGGAUUACAGGAUGAUUUAUUGAUUUAUUUCAAUCAAGUGCUCUCAGCAUAAAAUUGUUUGAGAAAUUGCCAGUGAGAACGUUCAUCAUUCUCCUUAUGUGGUCGUCCCUCUAUAAUCUUCAUUCCAGGGUUCAAGCCAAUAAUUUCUCGACCCAGCUCUCGUCCCAGCACAUGGGGAAUAGGCCACACUUUUUCGCCCGCAAGUUCUCCCCAUGAGUGAGAAGAAAAGCCUUGAGAUAAGUUGAUUUGUCCAGCACUCUUGUCGUCUUGAAUGUACAUGAUGGGAAAUAACGCAACCACACAUGAUCUUGGAACCUCUAUUGAGGACAGUGCCAGUAUCGGAAAUCAACCUAUAGUUGCCGUGCAUUAAAUAAAAGUCCAGGCAGAAUUGCAUAUCGUUAUUGGAGUUUGCUAGAGAGUUAUGGUCAUGGACUUCAAGAACAGCCCAAAGAGCUAACCCCUCAAAGUGUUGUCAAUCCAAUUUCCAGGCACAUUUAUUCCCACUGAAGAACCCUUGAACCCCAACUUAGACCACACUGGAAUUUCACUUCCAGUAAUAGUAAAUUCAGCAAAAGAAUGAAAUGGUACCUGUAUCAUGAAAAUUCAAGAUUGUGCAUGAGAGCCAAUGCUAUGAAAAUCAAGAUAUAGCAAUGAGUGUCAGCUCACUAGAACUAGAGUAGUCUCAGAAGUUGUAAAUUUAGAAGUUCCAACUGAAGUUGGAGCCUAAUUAACCCAGAAACAUAAAGAUCUUGAGAGAGGGACAAACCUUCACAUCUGUGAAAGGACAGCACUUUGAGUUUUGCCAAAGAGCAUAUGGAGAGUGGUGGCUGUGGCAUUGUCGUUCCACCUGCAUCGAGUUCUUCCAAAUUUUCCAGCAACUACAACUUCUCCAGUAAUCGAUUAAGAUGAGAGCAGCCAGAAAAAUAAAUAGUUCUCAGAUGCUUUAAACCAGUUCCAAAGUUGCUAGGAAGGUGUUGUAAAUGUUUAGAAUUCCUGGCACUCAAAAGAGCAAGGCCCGUAAGCUUUUCAAUCGAUGAAGGUUUCCUGUAUAGCAGUGUCAUCUAGUUGAAGCUCUGACAAGUGUUCCAUAUUGCAUUUGAUCUUAGGAAAUAUCUCAAGCUUAGAGCAUCCAGAGAGUGCAAGGAUCUCAAGAGAAGAUGUAUGGAUUUCACUUGGAAAAUUUUGAAGAUUCGAGCAGUCUUUCAGAUUUAAUAAUUUGAGGCUUGUGAGGGAACCCACAGAUGAAUGAACCUCAACUAAAUUUGUGCAGCCUUGAAGAAUUAACACCUCCAGAUUUGGCAUCCCUGUGAAAUCCGGUGUCCUAAUGAGUUUCUGGGAAUGACUUAGUUUGAUGAACUUUCAAUUUAUCAAAUUUCUGUCAAAAUAAAAAUUCAAAUCAUUUAGCCCUCAAUUUCAAAUCACAUAGACAACAACUAAAAUAGUCAACUAAUAACUAUACAUUCCUCUUCGUCCAAAACUCUGUUAUGCUGCUAUAUGACAUAUUAAGUUCAACAAGGUUUUGUGGAUAAAAAUGAAGUGGCAAAGUUUCAAAGGGAUAUCCAUGCCAACAGAGGCAUCGUAAACCAUUUGGUAAAGUAAGAAAGUCCCUAGAAAGAGUCACAUUUGAGUCUAAAGGUACUCUUGCUCCAUUUGCGCCAUUGAAGAGACUGAUAUUAGCAAAGGGCUGUUUUUGGAUAAGGUAUUCAAAGCCUCCAGAUUGGUGAGCAUAGCAAACCUUAAGCGAUCUAAGUUUGGUCAUCCUCUUGAAGAAUUCGGUAUUUAUAUGCAAAUUCUCUAUUUUAGACAAAUCUAGGAUUAUGCCCACAAGUUCUUGUGCCACCUGUAACCAAAAGCAAGGACAGUCAACAUCAUAAAGUAAUGCUAUAUCUUUAGUGGGGCAGGGGGAGCAUUGCACAUUGUAUGAUCUACUGUAAUGCAAGUGAAAAUAAACAAAUUUUGAAUGUAGUUGUUUCUUACCAUAUUGUUUGCCAACAAAGUAUAGACAUCAUUAUGAUCCCACAAUCUGGUCCAUUUGCCUGGGUCACUUUCUGGUGGAUGAACAAUUUCCCUUCCCAUUUGUUGUACUAAAUCAUGCGUCCAAAGUUUAUUAUCUAAAAUGGAGAUGAGAGACUUAUCAAUGAGGACUCUUAGAUUAGCAUGUGGGAAGAACCUACAACCUUCAAAUACUUUGACAACAUAAUCUUUAUCCUCCCCCUUAAAGAAACAUGCAAUAUCAAGAAACAUAUCUUUUUGAAAAGGAUUAUCAAGUCCAUCAAAACUUCUUUUAAGCACGUCAUUAAUUCCACUUGGAGGAGAUAUUUUAAGUUGAUGCAAUUCGUCUUGACAUUCAAGUUUAUUCUUGCCAGCUAAGUGGCCACCAAGAACCUCGAGAGCUAAAGGAACGUUCUUAGCAUACUUGAUCAUGUCGCGUGAGAGCAUCAAGAGUUCGAUGAAUUCAUCUGUUGAAUGGCAAUUCUUGAGUGCCUAUUGAGUAAAUAGCGGAAAAGAUUCUUUAUCAUUUAAAGCUUUGGCAACAUAUAUUUGAUCCACUCCAUGUGCAACAAGCAACUGUUUAUUUCUGGUUGUUAUAAUAAUUCUACUACCAGGACCGAACCAUUUAUGCUCUCCAGCUAAGGCUUUCAACUGUUUUAGAUCAUCCACAUCAUCAAGAACAACAAGAACACGCAUGUAUUGGAACCUGUCCUUUAUUGCACCAAACCUAGAGUUCUUAUUGUUUGGAUUCCUUCCCUCAAUAGUUUAGAAACAAGUCAAACCAGGUUUUCCUGCAACUUCUCUAAUACUUUCAAGAAAGCAACAACUUUCAAAUUCAGAACACAUACGGUCAUAAACAGCUCUAGCAAUGGUUGUUUUACCGUAUCCUCCCAUACCCCAUAUUCCAAUCAUGCCAACAUCAUUUGAGCCCAUACAUAAUUUUGAUUUCAUUUCCCUUAUACGGGAAUCCAUUCCAACUAGGCCUUUAGUACUAUUGCUGCUUGUACGGCUCAGUAUUUUCAAAAUAUAGAUGACAAUUUCAUCAAUAAGAAUCGCUUCAUCCCUGCCAUAGUUGGAAGAGCAGCGAAUCAAAAGAGUCAUGAAAGGGGAAAAACAAGAAGACGACUAUAAACAGCCAUUAAGAAGCUAAAAAUAGGAUUAUGCAGUUCUAAAGAAGCUCAGAAAUUAAAUAAGACUAAUCAUAAUAUGUAUUACCUGUUUCUUGUAUCCCGCCCAGAUAUGUUGCCUGCCUCUUUAAGAGCUAAUGUCCAACCUUCCACCUUCUCCGGAAAUUUCUGUUUUGACUUGUCAAACCCUUCUCCAAACCCGCCAGUUAUCUUUUUCACUUCCGAUGGGUCGACAUGGUAAAAAAUUGACAAGACUAAAUCACUUGUUUUUGAAUAUAUCUCUUCAUCUGUCUUUGUAUCUUUCUUUGGAUCUGGGAUACGUUUGGUAAUCUUCACAAGUUUAUCCAAGCAAAAAAUGGAAUCAACAUAGUUCUUAGAAAGAACUACAACUCAAAACCUUGACUCCUCAAUUGCUUGAAGAAGUGCUGGAGUGAUUGUUUCUCCUUUGUCAAGUUUCACAUCAUCUUUGAAAGUUCUAAUUCCUUUCCCAGUCAAAGCCUUGUACAGAUAGCUUAUAAAGCUAUUUCGAACGUCCUCACCUCUAAAACUCAAGAAAACAUCAUAUGUCCAAACUCGGGAAGUGGAGCCCAUAUUUGCAGUCUCAGAGAACUCAGUUCCACUUGCAGCAGCUGGCUCAGCAGCUUUUGAAGAAGAUGCUACAACAGUAGUGGCAGCAGCAACAUUCGAAGCAACAGAAUAAGAGGCCAUGGCAGCUGUUGUUGUAGAAUUCGAAGCAGUAUUAGAAGAAGAGGCCGCCACAGUCGAAGUCCCCUCAGUCGCAGCUGCAGAUGAAGAUGCUGCUACGGACACAGUUGCAGCAGCUAGAGGAGGCGCUGUCACAGUAUGAGUCUCAGCGGCCAUUGUUGUAGCGGUCUCAGUCGCAGGAACCAUAGUAGCAGCAUCUGUGACAGGAACAGUAGAAGAUACCACCGCAAUUGCAGUCGCAGCAUUUGUAGAAGAAGAAGAGGCCGCCACAGUCAAAGCCCCUUCAUUCGCAGCUGCAGAUGAAGAUGCCGCCACAGUCACCGUUGUAGCAGCUAAAGGAGGCGCUGCCACAGUAUCAGUAUCAGCAGUCGCAGGGGCCACAGUAGGAGCAUCUAUGGCAGGAGAAGUAGAAGAGACCGGUGUAGUUGCAGUCGCAGUAUUUGCAGAAGAAGAAGUGGCCGCCGCUUUACCAGUGCGGAAGGAAGAACACAUAGCAGGGUACAAAAAAUGGAAUCAGUAGGAUUUCGGAACUGAAAGUGUUUGAAAAAUUAGUUGUCUAAACGUAACCAAUACCAUAUUCGUUCGAGCAAUUUAGCAAACAAGUUAUAUUCAUGGUAAUAGAGAAGAGUUGACUCCACGAUUCACAUGCAGAAGACUUGAAAGCUCAAUAAUAUACAAUACAAUAUAUGUGUAUAUAUAUAUAUAUAUAUAUAUAUAUGUAUAUGUAUAUACAACGCUGAGUGGCAGUUGUUUACAAUUGGCCAUGUCCAUAAGAUGAUUCGUUAGCAUUUCUGCAUUAUGAGCAUUUCUUAAUUAGAAGAGGAGAAUUUAAAAAAAACAUAAAAGUUCGCCGCGUUAGGUGAUGGCAAUUUUAUAAAUUGCCAAUAGAUAUUGGGCAAAAAUAAAAUAAGGAGAGUUCUCCCUUAAGUUGUACUACACGAAGCAAUAUAUUAUAUGUAUAUUUAAUAUAUGUAUGGCUGAAUAUUCGGUCAAUUUAAAUAAUAUAUUUAAUCGAAAUAAAUUAAAAUUUUUUUAUUUAAUCCAAAUUCACAUCGUUUUGUUUAAAUUAAUUUUGAUCAUCAAUCGAACUGAAGUUAAAAAAAAUAAAAAUCUAAUUAACCGACUGAUUUAACCAAAAUUUAUGAUUAAUUAAUUCUAACCGAAAUAAAAAUUAACCGAAUUUACUUGUAACGCCUGACUCUAAUCACCAGAGGAAUGAUCCGCUUUGGAUCAAACCGAAUCCGUCGAAUCUAUCUCAUACUAUAUUAGCAGGAUCCGUACGGUUUUGUCACACAGGUGAAAUGAGAAACUUAAGCAAGCACGCUUAAUCUGGAAUUCUUCUAACUCUCUAACCAUUUCAUCAAAGGCGCCUCUAAUGAUUAGUUUCUUUCUUGUCGAUAUAUGAUUCGAUUCAUUCAUGUGUCCCACAUUCCACUAUCUAUAGCUAACCUGCCAUCCUAGAAGCUCGGGAGGACUUUAAUUCUACCCGUCUCCUUAGAAUCGCUUUGCCGGGUCGGAAUGUCACAUUACUAAUCACCACUUGAUCAAAAUAAAAACUGAAAUAUGUUUAAUUUUUUAUUUUAUUAUCUACUCAAUUAAAACAACAUAGUUUUGAGACUUGGUUAAUUUGAUUAAUUCAGUUGGUUAACUUUUAACUGAACCUUUAAUCGAUCACUAAAAAUUUAAUUUUUUUAACUGAAUAUUUAUUCAAUCAAAUUGGCUGAAUUAAUCGAAUUGGUCGAACUGAAUGCUCACUCCCUAAUCACAUGUAAAAUAGAAAUAAGAUUUGCUUAUAUCUAGUAUAUAGAUCCAUCCGAACAUUUAACUGAAGAGAUUAUUUUUAAAAUUAUUUUUAUUUUAUCUUUUCUUUUUCUCAAUGAAUGAUAAAAAUACCAUCGCUUCAAUCUAAAAUUAAUUUUGGUUGGUUUAGUAUAUGAGUCAGUUAUCGGGAGUAGAGAAAUAUUUUAUUUUUCCUAAAUUUGUGAACAAGCCUUGCCUAAACUGGUAUGAGUCCACCCAUACACCAAACCAAUCAAUGAAGGGAUUUUUUUAAAAAUGAUUUAUAGUUAUUCUCUUCUUUACCCAGUAAAUAGUUACAUAUACUUUCAUUUCAAUUAAAAAAUUAAGUUUAAUUGAUUUAAUAUAUGGGUGAGUAUGUACACCGGUAUAUAGGUAAAUCUUUCCCUUUCUCUUUGACAUUUGUUAUGAAAAAUACAAUUGCAUGUAAAUCUACAAUUCAAUAAUAAUAAAUUAUAAAUAAUACUAUUAAAUUAUUAAAAUUUAAGUAUUGCUCCCUCAGUCGCAUAAUUAAAUUAUUUACUUUUUCACCCGCAAGCCUUGGCCACGAAUGAAAAGAUCAUCCUUCAGCUGCCUCGAACUGUCCAGCUUUCUUCUCAGUUUGGAUGUACAGGCUUAGUAUUUCUAUUGAUGACAAAUUCAGUAUCAGAAUACAUCUUAUAGUUGUGCAUCAAAUAAAUUUCAAGGCCGUACUGCAUUUUUAUGGUUGAAUUGUUAUCGAAUAUUUCCUUGAUUAAUAAAGAAAGAAAUCUCUAGCCAAUCAGAUAUGAUUUUAUUGAUCUUUUAUUGAUCUUUUCACUAAUGUGAGGAGUGAGAAGUUUUAAAUUCGAGUUUUCUACGACUAUAAGAGUUUUCAAAAAAGAAAAGAAGAAACUCUCAACUCAACUAAUCUUUUGGAUACAUAAAGCAAGAUUAAAUAACAAUUAAUCGGUUCUAUAAUUAUUUACUAAAUUUCUUACUCUAUCCAUAUUUCAAAAUAUUAUUAUCCUAAUUUUAAUCUUAAUAUGUAUAAAAAUCAAAUCAGGACACAAAUUAUGGAACAUAAGGAGUAAUCAAUUUAUCACAAUAUCAUAGUAUUAUACCAUGGCUUUUGUAGUCUCUCUCUUAUAGAUACUUCUCUUGAAUUUUAAAAUUGUAUUUACAAAGUUUAAAUCUUGUUGAUUUUGUGCGGUUCUCUCUCCUUCUCUCAAAACCUAAAAUCUAAAAAUUCUCUUUUCUUCUUUUAUAGGCAGCCACCGGUGAGCUCUCACUGGUGGUCACCUCCUUGCUUUUUUUUUGGAAAUAAUCCUUAGAUUUGUUUCCAAAUCUGAUUUAUUAUCGCCUAAAUAUAGAGAUUUAUUGUUGCCAAUAUUUUGAAAUUUUAUUCUCAAAUUUAAUUCUGAAUUAUUAUUAUCACAUAAAGUCUUUUAUUAUUUGGAUAGUUACGUAAAAAAAAAAAAAGGACAUUAAGAACUUUAUCGUGACAUUAUGGCUCCAAUAGUUGGUUUUAAUGCAUUGGACGCCAGAUUUUAUAUGGAUGGAUUGGAAACCGGACUAGACGCAUUUUUUCAAAGAUUUGGUUUGAAUGCAUCGGAAGCCAGAUCUUAUUCGAAUGUAUUGGAAACCGUCGGACCAGACGCAUUUUGUCAAAAAUUUGGCCUGCCGUGGGGCUUGAACUAUACAAAUACAUAUGUAUCAACUUCAACUUGCAACUUAAAAUACCCAAUUUUCUUGAAGUGAGGGCAGGGGGCCUAUUUUCCGUCUUAAUAAAAAAUUUUAAUGGAAUAUUUUAAUUUUAAUCCCUCUUGGCUUGUAGCAACAAUGUUUUGGUUUGUAACAAUAAUGAUAUGUUUUGUACUAAGUUGGACUGUGUUCGACUCACGCCAAUGCACUUCAUCAACUUUUAUUAUUUUAGUUUUCUUUUUCCAUUUAUAUUUUUAUAGUUGACUUACGAUAUGCCAUUAACUUUAAUAUUUUUUCAUUUUUCUCUUUAUUUAUAUUUUUUUUGUUUUAAUAGUUUUUCUUUUCUUUUCUUUUUUAGUUGAUUAGACAACCACUCACACACAAUUAAUCUUUAUAAUUUAACAUUAUUUAUUAUUUUAUAAGGGCACUAAUACGAUGGAGCUUUUUAUAAACCAUUUAAUAUUUUUUUUUUAUAAAUUGUUAAAUACUCUAACAUUCAGCUUUUAAGAGUAACGUUUAAUAUUUAGCUUUUAAUUAAAUUUUUUAUUAUUUAGUUUUUAUAUAAAAGGACAUUAGAUAUUUAAUUAGCUAAAUUCGAGGAAACACAAUUUGAAUAUGAUUGUGAAAAAAAAAAAUUGAUAUCUCUAAACCACUAAACAUAUGUCACCCAAUAAUAUAAUUAAUCGAAAUAAAAUUUUAAUUUAAUCAAAAUGCUCAGCUCAAAAUUUAAUAUAUAAAGUGUCGUUUAUGUGAUAUCAUAUGGUCAGUAAAACACCAUAACAUGAUAACAUCCGUUAACGUGAAAGCAGCGUCCCUAAUGUUAAUGUUCAUCACGUGAAAAAUGGAAUUCUGCGACAUUACUCCGUUGUUUUUAUCAAUUUAUCAUUAAGUUGUUUUGUAGAGCCAUAUGUUUUUGUUACUUUUAUCCCUUUUUAUUAAAAUAUAUAUUUUAUAAUUACGUAAUAUAAUAAAUUCAGAUUCAAAUCUCUUUUUCAAUAAUAAAAAAAAUUAAAAUAUUUUUAAAUUUAAUAAGAAUUCUAAAUAUUAAUUAAAAAAUAAAAUUUUUUCUCAAUUACUAUUACUUUUAAAGACUAAUAGUUUAUUAACGAACGUAACUGAUUACAAUCUCUUCUCAUUUUUUUUAAUUAUAAAUAAUUAAACUUAUUUUAUACUAUCUUUAUUUUAUAAUAUUUAUUAUAUUGUGAUUUCAACGAGUAAUAAUUUUUUUUUAUAUUUACUAUUUAUAUAUAAUUAUUAAUUAUUAAUAAUUUUUUUAAAAAGUAAUAUUAAAUUAAAAAUAAUAUAAUUAAUUUACUCGCAUGCUUGUGUUGACCUUUCAAUAAAACCUCUCGCCGUUAGAGCGCGUAAAUAUACCUAAAAACAUAGGGCAGAGCCAAACAUGAAGGGACUUUGACACUGGCAGUCUCUCUUUCUGAUACUGCUGCGAAUUCUGCAACAAAAGCUGCGAUGGCCUCUUAUUCUGUAGCAUCUUCUUCAAAAGCUGCUGAGGCUGGAACUUCUGUUUCUGCGACUGCAGAUGUGGCUGCCGCUUCCCGAGUUUGGAGAUAUGAUGUUUUCUUGAGUUUUAGAGGUGAGGAUGUUCGGAAUAACUUUGUAAGCCAUCUGUACAAGGCUUUGACAGAAAAAGGAAUUAAAACCUGCAAAGAUGAUGUGAAACUUGACAAAGGAGAAACAAUCACUCCAUCACUCCUUCAAGCGAUUGAGGAUUCAAGGUUUUGUGUAGUAGUUUUUUCUAAGAACUAUGCUGAUUCCACUUUUUGCUUGGAUGAACUUGGGAAGAUUGUUGAACGUAUCCCAGAUCCUAAGAAAGAUACAAAGACUGAUGUACUGAAAAAUUCAAAAACAAAAGCCAGAGAUGCAGUUUUGCCAAUUUUUUACAACGUUGACCCAUCGGAGGUGAGCAAGCAAACCGGUGUAUUUGGAGAAGGAUUUGCUAAAUCAAAACUGAAAUUUCCUGAGAUGGUUGAGCGUUGGACAUUAGCUCUUACAAAGGCUGGCAACAUGUCUGGAUGGGAUGCACGAAACAGGUAAUCCAUUUUAUGAUUUUUAUUUUCGUGAUUUUGAUUAUCUAACAAACAAAUUAUGCUACAAAUUAUAUGGUUUCUGCUUAUGUCUUCUUUAAUUUCUGAGCUUGUUUAGAACUGCAUAAUCCUCUUUUGAGCUUCUUUAAUUGCUGCUUGUAGUCUUCUUCUGUUGUUUCUCUUGUAUCGACUCUUUUGAUUUUUCGCCCUUUCAACUAUGGCAGAGAGGAAGCGAUUCUUAUUGAUGAAAUAGCCAUCUGUAUUUUGGGAAAACUGAGUCAUACAAGCAUCAAUAGUACUAAAGGCCUAGUUGGAAUGGAUUUCCGUGUAAGGGAAAUGGAAUCGAAAUUACAUAUGGGGUUGGACAAUGUUCUCAUGGUUGGAAUAUGGGGCAUGGGAGGAAUCGGUAAAACAUCCAUAGCUAAAGCUGUUUAUGACCGUAUCUAUGGUGAAUUUGAAUGUUGUUGCUUUCUUCAAGGUGUUACAGAAGUUGCAAGUAAACCUGGAUUAGGUCUUUCACAUUUACAGGAGCAACUUCUUUCUAAACUACUGAAGGAAGGAAUUCAAAAAAUAAGAACUCUAGGUGACAAUUUUGAUGUAAUAAAGAACAGGUUCCAAUACAUGCGUGUUCUUAUUGUUCUUGAUGAUGUGGAUGAUAUAAAACAGUUGAGAGCCUUAGCUCGAGAGCAUGAAUGGUUCGGUCCUGGUAGUAGAAUUAUCAUAACAACUAGAGAUAAACAUCUGCUUGAGGCGCAUGGAGUGGAUCAAAGAUACGAGGCCCCACUUUUAAAUGAUAAUGAAUCUCUCACGCUAUUUACUCAACAUGCCUUCAAAAAUCACUGCUAUUCAGAUGUUGAACUCAACAACAUUUCCAAGCUCUCACACAAUGUGGUCAAGUAUGCUCAGAAUGUUCCUUUAGCUCUGGAGGUUCUUGGUUGCCACUUAGCUGGCAAGAAUGAACUUGAAUGGCUAGACGAAUUGCACCAACUUGAAAUGUGUCCUCCAAAAGGAAUUAAUGAUGUGCUUAAAAUAAGUUUUGAUAGACUUGAUAAUCGUUUCCAAAGGGAUAUGUUUCUUGAUAUUGCAUGUUUCUUUAAGGGGGAGGACAAAGAUUAUGUUGUCAAAGUAUUUGAAGGCUGUGGGUUCUUCCCACAUGCUAAUCUAAGAGUUCUCAUUGAUAAAUCUCUCAUCUCCAUUUUAGAUAAUAAACUUUGGAUGCAUGAUUUAGUACAACAAAUGGGAUGGGAAAUUGUUCGUCAACCUGAAACUGAUCCAGGCAAAUGGACCAGAUUGUGGGAUCAUAAUGAUGUCUGCACUUCGUUUGCAAACAAUACAGUAAGAAAUAAAUUCAUUGAAUUUUUUUUUUCUUUUACUUGCUUUACAGUGGAUCAUACAAUGUCCAAUUCUCCCCCCACCCCACUAAAGAUGUAGCAUAUCUAUAUGUCUUGUCUGUGCUCUUGGUUACAGGUGGCGGAAGUUGUGGGCAUAAUCCUAGAUUUGUCUAAAAUAGAGAACUUGCACAUUAACACUGAAGUCUUCGAGAGCAUGACCAAACUUAGAUUGCUUAAGGUUUGCUAUGCUUACAAAUCUGGAGGCUUUGAAUACCUUAUCCAAAAACAGCACUUUGCUAACAUCAGUCUCUCCAAAGGCACAAAUGAAGUAAGAAUACCUUUAGACUCAAAUGUGACUCUUUCUAGGGACUUUCUUACUUUAUCGAAUGAUUUGCGAUGCCUCUAUUGGCAUGGAUAUCCCAUUGAAACUUUGCCACCUCAUUUUUAUCCACAAAACCUUGUUGAACUUAACAUGUCAUACAGCAACAUGACAGAGUUUUGGACGAAGAGGAAGGUAUAUUUAUUAGCUCACUAUUUUAUUUCUCAUCUAUAUGAUAUUAAAUUCACGGCUAAAUGAUUUGAAUUUUUAUUUUGACAGAAAUUUGAUAAAUUGAAGCUCAUCAAACUAAGUCAUUCCCAGAAACCCAUUAGGAUACCGGAUUUCACAGGGAUGCCAAACCUUGAGAUAAUAAUUCUUCAAGGCUGCACAGAAUUAACUGAGGUUCACUCCUCUCUGAGUUCUCUUAGAAGCCUCAAAUUAUUAAAUCUGAAAGACUGCUCAAAUCUUCAAAAUUUUCCUAGUGAAAUUCAUACAUCUUCUCUUGAGAUCCUCAUACUGUCUGGAUGCUCAAAGCUUCAGACAUUUCCUGUGAUCAAGGGUGAUAUGGACCGCUUGUCAGAGCUUUAUCUAGAUGACACUGCUAUACAAGCACUACCUCCAUCUAUUGAAAAGCUUACGGGCCUUGUUCUUUUGAGUGCCAGGAAUUGUGCACAUCUACAACUCCUUCCUUGUAACUUUGGUAAUGGUUUAAAGCAUCUGAGAACUAUUUACUUUUCUGGCUGCUCUCAUCUUAAUCAAUUGCUAGAGAAGUUGGAGAAGUUGGAAAAUUUGGAAGAACUUGAUGUAGGUGGAACGAAAAUAACACAUCCACCACUCUCCAUAUGCUCUUUUGUGAAGCUUAAAAUGCUGUCCUUCCACAGAUGUGAAGGAUUUCCAUUUGUAAACAUCAGAGGAACCAUGCAGGAAGAAUUAGAUAGGGACAAUAUCAGAAAAUGUUUUUUUAGAAAUUUAUCCUAUUUAACAAGUCUAGAUUUAAGCUACUGCAAUUUGGAUGAUGUGUCAAUCCCUACGGAAUUGGGAAUGUUAUACUCUUUGAAGAAAUUAAAUCUGAGCGGAAACAACUUUUCCAGGUUACCUCCUGAAACCAUUGCCAAUUAUCUCGAAGUCAUUUGUUUGGCAGACUGCAAUGGUCUUUCCUCGUUGCCACCUCUCCCAUGCAGCAUAUGUUGGAUAGAAGCACCGAACUGCCCUGAACUAGUUAGUGUACAUGUACCAAAGCUGAAUGAAUUGUGCAUGAUGGGUUUCAAUUUUAUUAAUUGCUUCAGAUUGGGUAAUGGCAAUGCAACAACUAUAGCAGUUGAGCUACUGAGACAACUUAUUCGUAAGGUCUCUCCAUCUCUCAAGACCUUUAUUAUUAUUUUUUUUUCAGGUUAAUAAGCUCCUAACUCUUGCCUUUCAUAGUAUUGGAUCUCUCUCUAACACACAAUCAUGAUUUUUCAUGAUACAGGUACCAUCUCAUUUUUUUGCUGAAUUUACUAUUAUUGUUCCUGGAAAUCGAAUUCCAGUAUGGUCCGAUUUCGAGUCCAGGGGUUCUUCAGUGCGAAUAAGUGUGCCUAGGGGUUUCUAUUGGAACUAUUUCAGGGGGUUUGCUCUUUGGGCCGUUCUUGAAGUCAAUUAUGACCACGACUCUCUAGCACUCUCCAAUAACGAUCCAACCAUGCAAAUGCAAUUCUGCCUUGAAUUUUAUUUGAUGCACGAAAACAAGAAGUUGAUUUCCGAUACUGGCAUUGUUCUUAAUAGAAGUUACGAGAUUAAAGGGGAUCAUGUGUGGUUGCGUUUUAUCCCAUCUUGUACACUCAAGUUGAUAAGGGGCUCCUCAACUCAGCUCAAAGCUGUUAUUCUCACUCAUGGCAAUGUCUUGCGGGUGAAAAAUUGCGGCCUAUUCCCGAUGUUUGAUGACGGCGAGUCUGCGAAGAAGGUUAUAGAAGGAAGAUCACACGAGGAUGAACUUAAUCAUCAAAGAAAAUUUCAAGUUUCUCGUAGAAAUUUUCUUCCAAGAUCAUGCAACGACGAACUUAAUCAUAACAGAUUUCUUCCAAGAUUUGAUUUGAAUGCAUUGGAAACCGGACCAGACGCAUUUCUUCAAAGAUUUGAUUUGGAUACCCGGCCUGAUGUGCUGAAAAGGGAAGAAAUGUUGUGGGCUCCCUCCGACACGUGGGACCCACACACAUGUUUUAAAUAAAUAAAAAAAAAGAAACAGCUCAUGUGGGAUUAAUGUUCAUACACAUCAGUUGUGUACAUCUCACUCAUAUGAGCUGUGUUCACAGUUUGCAUGAGAUGUGUGCACUUUCUUCUCCAAGCUGCUUCGAUAGACACAAAAACAUAAACACACAAAAAUAAAGGAGUGUAAUUUUAGGAAAAUGUCCUAAAAUUGAAAAAGAGAGAAAAUAAUGAGGAUUAUAAUUUUUUGGGUGUUUUUUGGGAAACACUUAGAGUGCCACUAUUUUUGUAAUCUCUCUUGUACCUAUUAUUUUUAGUGGAAGAAUUAUUCGGAGUUUUUGUCCCGUUGACGUAGCCCAUAAUAGUUGAAGGGUGAACCACGUAAAUCUCGGUGUCCUUAUUUUUCAUCUGGCAUUUACGGUAAUUAUUUAAUUUUUACCGUGGUUAUUAUUUCUGGUGGAUUCGAUCGUCAAUAUCCAAUACGUAAUUAUUGGAGGUAUAUGUGGUAAUAGUAAUUUAAAUCUUUAUCGACGCUAUUAACUUUUAUCGUCGGUAAUUUUAUUUUACUUCUACCACCGGUAUUUUUUCGCGGGCCCCACUCGGGAUUAGUAAUAAUCCCAACAACUGGUAUCAGAGCCUUUGGUUGGUAAAUUCUGUUAGUUUCUACAAAGUUACGAUUCACGUGAAUAAUGAAUUUCGUGAAUAGUAAAUUUUUGUCAGAUACAGAAUUCGACGUGGCUAACGACGGGGCAAUGAUCAAAUUGACGGAUUCGAAUUAUUCAAUGUGGAAAUCCAGAAUGGAGGACUACCUCAAUUGCAAAGAUCUAUACGAUCCAAUUGAAGGUCACAGUGCAAAGCCAGAAGAAAUGAAAGAAAGACAGUGGGUCAAAUUAAAAAAGCAGACAUUGGGUACAAUAUGCCANNNNNNNNNNNNNNNNNNNNNNNNNNNNNNNNNNNNNNNNNNNNNNNNNNNNNNNNNNNNNNNNNNNNNNNNNNNNNNNNNNNNNNNNNNNNNNNNNNNNNNNNNNNNNNNNNNNNNNNNNNNNNNNNNNNNNNNNNNNNNNNNNNNNNNNNNNNNNNNNNNNNNNNNNNNNNNNNNNNNNNNNNNNNNNNNNNNNNNNNNNNNNNNNNNNNNNNNNNNNNNNNNNNNNNNNNNNNNNNNNNNNNNNNNNNNNNNNNNNNNNNNNNNNNNNNNNNNNNNNNNNNNNNNNNNNNNNNNNNNNNNNNNNNNNNNNNNNNNNNNNNNNNNNNNNNNNNNNNNNNNNNNNNNNNNNNNNNNNNNNNNNNNNNNNNNNNNNNNNNNNNNNNNNNNNNNNNNNNNNNNNNNNNNNNNNNNNNNNNNNNNNNNNNNNNNNNNNNNNNNNNNNNNNNNNNNNNNNNNNNNNNNNNNNNNNNNNNNNNNNNNNNNNNNNNNNNNNNNNNNNNNNNNNNNNNNNNNNNNNNNNNNNNNNNNNNNNNNNNNNNNNNNNNNNNNNNNNNNNNNNNNNNNNNNNNNNNNNNNNNNNNNNNNNNNNNNNNNNNNNNNNNNNNNNNNNNNNNNNNNNNNNNNNNNNNNNNNNNNNNNNNNNNNNNNNNNNNNNNNNNNNNNNNNNNNNNNNNNNNNNNNNNNNNNNNNNNNNNNNNNNNNNNNNNNNNNNNNNNNNNNNNNNNNNNNNNNNNNNNNNNNNNNNNNNNNNNNNNNNNNNNNNNNNNNNNNNNNNNNNNNNNNNNNNNNNNNNNNNNNNNNNNNNNNNNNNNNNNNNNNNNNNNNNNNNNNNNNNNNNNNNNNNNNNNNNNNNNNNNNNNNNNNNNNNNNNNNNNNNNNNNNNNNNNNNNNNNNNNNNNNNNNNNNNNNNNNNNNNNNNNNNNNNNNNNNNNNNNNNNNNNNNNNNNNNNNNNNNNNNNNNNNNNNNNNNNNNNNNNNNNNNNNNNNNNNNNNNNNNNNNNNNNNNNNNNNNNNNNNNNNNNNNNNNNNNNNNNNNNNNNNNNNNNNNNNNNNNNNNNNNNNNNNNNNNNNNNNNNNNNNNNNNNNNNNNNNNNNNNNNNNNGAUUAUUGUUUAUUUGGGAAGCAACAUCGUGUCUCAUUUUUUAAAAGCUCUAGAAGGAGAGACAACAAGUUGGAGUUGGUACACUCUAACGUAUGUGGUCCCAUGGNNNNNNNNNNNNNNNNNNNNNNNNNNNNNNNNNNNNNNNNNNNNNNNNNNNNNNNNNNNNNNNNNNNNNNNNNNNNNNNNNNNNNNNNNNNNNNNNNNNNNNNNNNNNNNNNNNNNNNNNNNNNNNNNNNNNNNNNNNNNNNNNNNNNNNNNNNNNNNNNNNNNNNNNNNNNNNNNNNNNNNNNNNNNNNNNNNNNNNNNNNNNNNNNNNNNNNNNNNNNNNNNNNNNNNNNNNNNNNNNNNNNNNNNNNNNNNNNNNNNNNNNNNNNNNNNNNNNNNNNNNNNNNNNNNNNNNNNNNNNNNNNNNNNNNNNNNNNNNNCAACUUACCUAAGCCAUUUUGGGGAGAAGCUGUCAAUACUGCUGUCUACCUAAUCAACCGACUACCUUCAGCACCUUUGAAUUUUGAUAUUUUGGAGAAGGUCUGGACAAGUAGAAAUAUUUCAUACUCUCACCUGAGGGUAUUUGGCUGCAAGGCAUUUAUGUAUGUUCCGAAGGAGCAGAGAUCAAAGCUUGAUGACAUGUCAGUUCCUUGCACUUUUAUUGGUUAUGGAGACGAAGAGGUUGGCUACAGGAUGUGGGACCCCGGAGCCGAGACGCAGUAAUCCGAAAUGUAGUAUUCCAUGAGAAUGAGAUCAUGGCAGAUACAACGUGUGAAGAAUCCACAAGUGAUGGUGUUGUUGAUAUUACACCAGGAAGCAUUCCCACAGAUGAUGCCACAGGUGGAGGAAUGCCAGAAUCAGAACCAGAAGAAGAAGAAGAGCCAGUCAUAGGGGAUCAAGAGACAAUUGUAGAUGAUAACAGUGAUGCAGAGGGUGUCNNNNNNNNNNNNNNNNNNNNNNNNNNNNNNNNNNNNNNNNNNNNNNNNNNNNNNNNNNNNNNNNNNNNNNNNNNNNNNNNNNNNNNNNNNNNNNNNNNNNNNNNNNNNNNNNNNNNNNNNNNNNNNNNNNNNNNNNNNNNNNNNNNNNNNNNNNNNNNNNNNNNNNNNNNNNNNNNNNNNNNNNNNAGAACACUCAAGAACAAAUGGGUGUACAAACUGAAGAAAGAUGAUGGCAACCUAGUGAGAUACAAAGCUCGAUUGGUCGUCAAAGGCUUUACUCAAAAGAAAGGUAUUGACUUUGAUGAGAUUUUUUCACCAGUUGUGAAAAUGAGUUCUAUUUGAGUUGUGCUAGGUCUAGUAGCCAGUUUGAAUCUUGAGUUAGACCAGCUUGAUGUAAAGACCGCAUUUUUGCAUGGGGAUCUAGAGGAAGAAAUCUAUAUGGAACAACCAGAAGGUUUCAAGGUCAAGGGAAAAGAGGACAUGGUUUGUCGCUUGAAGAAGAGCUUGUACGGGUUGAAACAAGCGCUGCGACAAUGGCAUAAAAAGUUUGAUUCUUUCAUGGUGAAUCAAGGAUACAAAAGGACAGAUGCAGAUCCUUGUGUAUAUGUCCAGAAAUUACCUGAUGGUAAAUUUAUCAUCGUUCUCCUAUAUGUUGAUGAUAUGUUAAUCGUUGGACCAGAUGCACACAUGAUUAGUAAGUUAAAGAGUGAUUUGUCAAAAGCAUUUGACAUAAAGGAUUUGGGAUCGGCAAGGCGAAUUCUCGGAAUGGAGAUUAUCCGAGAAAGAAAGUCCUGCAGGCUAUGGCUAUCGCAGGAAAAAUAUAUUGAACGAGUUCUAGAGAGGUUCAAUAUGAAGAAUGCUAAACCAGUUAGCACUCCGCUUGCCGCUCACUUCAAGUUGAGUAAGAGAUCCUGCCCAUCAACAAAGAAAGAAAAAGAAAAUAUUUCAAAUGUUCCAUAUUCUUCAGCGGUAGGAAGUUUGAUGUACGCAAUGAUGUGUACGAGACCAAAUAUCGCUCAUGCAGUUGGCGUUGUGAGCCGAUUUCUGUCAAAUCCCCAGAAGACACAUUGGGAAGCAGAGAAGUGGAUCGUCAGAUACCUGAGAGGAACUUCAAAGUUAUGUUUAACUUUUGGAGGUGAAAAGACUGCACUAGUUGGUUACACAUAUGCAGACGCCGGUGAUCUUGAUGAAAGAAAAUCUACAUCAGGAUACCUAUUUACAUUCUCAGGGAGAGCUAUUUCAUGGCAAUCAAGAUUACAAAAAUGUGUUUCGUUAUCAACGACUGAAGCAGAGUACGUUGCAGCAACGGAAGCAGGAAAGGAAAUGCUUUGAUUAAAGUAAUUCUUUCAAGAAUCUGAGUGUGCAACAUGAAGAAUAUAUAGUUUAUUGUGAUAGUCAAAGUGCAUUAGACUUGAGCAAAAAUACGAUGUAUCAUGCACGGACGAAGCACAUUGAUGUAAGAUAUCAUUGGCUUAGAUUUGCCAUUGAAGAGAAGCAGUUCAAGUUGCGAAAAAUCCACACAGACAGAAAUGCUGCAGAUAUAUUGACAAAGGUCGUUCCAAAGGAGAAGUUCGAGCUUUGUGUCAAAGCAGCAGGGAUGGAGAGUCCCACCAUGUAAUCGGGAGGGGGAGAAUUGUUGUGGGAUCCCUCCAACAUGUGGGACCCACACACAUGUUUUAAAUAAUAAUAAAAAAAGAAACAGCUCAUGUGGGAUUAAUGCUCAUCCACAUGAGCUGUGUACAGCUCACCCACAUGAGCUGUGUUCACAGCUUGCAUGAGCUGUGUGCACUUUCUUCUCCUAUAAAUAGGAGAAGAAAGUUGCUUCGAUAGACACAAAAACAUAAACACACAAAAAUAAAAGAGUGUGUAAUUUUAGGAAAAGGGUCCUAAAAUUGGGAAAGAGAGAAAAUAGUGAGGAUUAUAAUUUUUGGNNNNNNNNNNNNNNNNNNNNNNNUUUUGUAAUCUCUUUUGUACCUACUAUUUUUAGUGGAAGAAUUAUUCGGAGUUUUUGUCCUGUGGACGUAGCCCAUAAUAGUUGAAGCGUGAACCACGUAAAUCUCGAUGUCCUUAUUUUUCAUCUUCCAUUUACGGUAAUUAUUUAAUUUUUACCGUGGUUAUUAUUUCUGAGGGAUUCGAUCGUCAAUAUCCAAUACGUAAUUAUUGGAGGUAUAUGUGGUAAUAAUAAUUUAAAUCUUUAUCGACACUAUUAACUUUUAUCGUCGGUAAUUUUAUUUUACUUCUACCACCGGUAUUUUUCCGCGGGCCCCACUCGGGAUCAGUAAUAAUCCCAACAAAAAAUGGGGUUGGAUAGUAAAAACGAAUAAAAUCGCCAAAACUGGGUUUUUGAUUUCCCAGCUUUAAAAGCAGCAAUCUCCUCUCCAGCAAGAACCGGUAAUGCCUUUUUUGGCUCCUCUGGCUCUAGAGCUGGUGCCUCUGUUUUUUGUUUCUCGGUAAGAUGCUUUUCCACGCGAAGUAACUAGAAAAUUUAGAGAUACACAAAUUUAUUCUCAAAUUAGAAUAGCACGGUUACUUUACCGGUUUAUAAUUUAUAAUUUAUAAAUAAUUUAUAUUUUUAAUAUAUGAAUUAUAUUUAGUAUAUAUUAUAAGAUUCAUUUUCUCCGUGAAAUGUUUUAUUAAAAUUUUAUGUUAUAUAGAAAUUAUAAUGUCGUUAAUUUAUUUAAAAUAAUUAUAAAUUUCAAUUAGUCUAGCAAAGUUUUAGUUAGAGUUUAUUAUACAAACAAUAUUUUUUUAUCCUAGAUAAUUCUAUAUAAAAUGUAAAGUUCUAAAAUUCAAAUAAUUCAAUGUGGAUAAUAUACAACAAAAUAAUAGAUAGAUAAAAAAAAUUUAAAUAAUUUAAUGUGGAUAAUUCUAUAUUAAAUUAAAAAUAUUAAAAAUAUAAAUAAAGAAUACAGAAUCUCAGAAGAUGAAGUUACAUAAACAAAAUUAACUAUUCACUAAAUCAAGGAGGAUAAAAAAUCAGUUAAACUAAAUCUAAACUUACAAUUAAUUUUUAUUAUAUUGUUCAUAUAUCUAUCCCUUAAUGCGUAACCUUACCAUAUUUUGAAGCAUUUUUCCUCAAAUUGCAAUUAGAAUAGUUGAAAAAUCUAAGAUUUCUUGUUGAAGCUGUCAUAGUAAAAGUUAAUAUCCCAAUAACUCGAUCCUAAUAAAAAUCUUAUAGACACCAAUUAAUAAACAGAGAGUGUUAGAGUAAUUGAGAUAGAUCGGGAUAAGAAAAAAAAAUAAUGAAAAAUUGAUUUAAGAUAUGAAUAUCUUUAUAGUUCAAAUAAAAUUAAAAAAUGAACAAUAAAAACAUAAAAAAAAUACAUGCAAGAGCAAUACAAAAACGAUACCUGCUCAGAUCUAAGCUUCGUAUUUUUUCCAACCGUCUUCAUUUAACAAUGAUAUUAAUGAAAAAUCAAAUAAAAAGACAAAUGAACCAAGAGAGAAUUAUAAAAGAAAUGGAAGAGAAGGAAAAAAAAAUUAUAUAGUAUAAAAAAAAGUUAAAUCUAUAUAUUCCAAAUAAAAUUAAAAAAGGAAAAAUAUACGAAAGAGCUAAUGUUAUCUUUGACGAAGAAAAAAUUGUUUUGUAGUUCAUAAUCUGAAAAACAAAAAUAGCAAAAUUUAAUAUAAAUAUAAAGAAAUAUAAAUUAUUAAAGAAAAAGAUAAACAAAAAAACUAAAAAAAAGUAAAAAACAGUCAUUGAAUCAAAAGAUAGAGAACCGUAGAGUUAUAUAAAUAUUUAGCUACAAUUUACAAAUUUUUAAAAAAUAGAAAAUAUUUUUAGAUUUUUAGAUGAGAUUGUUAGAAGAUACAGAUUAAACUAGUUAAAGAGAUUUAGAAUUUGAUUUUUUAAAAUAAAUUAUUUGUUAUAAAUAAUGGAAAUAAUAUUAUUUUAGUUGACAAAUAAUUAUAGUUUUUUUUUUUGUUAAAAAUGAAUUAAAAGUCUAGAAAAUUUGAAAAAAACGAAAAAGAGGAAUUCUGAAACUAGAAGAUGCCAAGUCAACAUUUACAUAAAAUUUUGUGCUUCAAUGGAAAUUAUUUUUGCUUAGAUCGGGUCCAUAGCUAUGCUUAUGGAUCAAACCAAUGACAGUAAGGAUUCUUUAAAAAAUGUUCCGAUUUUAUUUCUUUUUUUCAAUGUAUGGUCAGAAAUACCUUUGUUUCAAUAAAAAAAUAUUAUUCUCAUUAGUUUGGUCCAUGAAUGGGGCCAUACACCCGGUCUAGUUAAAAUUAACCCAAUUUCAAUACAAUAAAUUUUAUUUGAACAGCAAAAAAAAAAAAAAAAAAUACUCAAGUUCCAAAUAUAUGGAUGGAUAAUUUUUCUUAAAUUUCUAUUUUCUAUUAUUAAACAAUCUAUAUAAUAGCUAAUUGGAAGAUAAUCAUUUAUACAAUAAAAAAAAAGUUAAUUGAUAUGCUUAAGGUGUAAAUUAAAAAGAAAGAGACCAAUUAAUUAAAAAAAAAAUUAAGAGAGAGAUAGAAGACGAAGGUUAAGUAGACAAAAGAAAAAUUAUGAAGAAAAAGAUGAAUAUGGUCUGACAUUUGCUGGCAAUCAGAAACAUAAAUAUAAAAAUUAAAUAGCUAGCUAAAAGAAAUAUUUAAUUAGGAUUUUAUAUAUUUUAAAAUGAUAAAUUUUGGUAUGAUUAUUUUUUGAAAUUAUAAAAAUUUUGCGUUAGACGGUAUGAAAUAAAAAUUUUAUGUUGUUGAAUUUUAAUCAUAAAAUCAGGAAUAAUGUCAAAUUAAUAAGGAAUAUAAAAUAUUUUAAAAUAAUAAUCUAAUUUUAUAUGAAUUAUUUUUUAUUAAAGUUAUUAUAGUGCUACAAAGGCGAAACCUUGGGCCCAUAUCGUGCUUUAUUGUUGGCAUGGGAGAAAGAAGGAAAGCGUUUACUUAUUCAAUCGAGGGAUAUUAUAGUAUAUAUCCGAUUUUGAAACUUUAUUUAAAAAAAUAUCAGUUUGAACUAAACUAUUAAAUUAAUGUGAGUUUUAUCUUUCAUUUACCUAAUUAUCCUUUGAAAAAAAAAAAAUGACUCUGUAAAUUAUAGUCAUAUUUACAUAUGUCUCCUUCAAUAUUUUGGAACUGACUUUAGCAUUUUUAAUUUUUACUUUCAUUGCACAAACACAUCCUUCCAUCUAAAAUUACUCAAAUUUUCGUCAAAUGGCAAAUAAAAUGACCAUACUAACAUUUAUAAUAUACAAAAUUUUCUUCACAAUUAAUUACUUCUAUUCCUCCAUAUCUUUCCUUGAAUCCUUCACAGAAAAAGAAAGCGGUCAUCUCUCUCUUUAAUGCCGUGAUCUGCACUUUCUGAACUCUCUCAUUUUCACAAAUUUGAACCAUAAAUUAAGCAUGGAGCAAUCUAUGUGAGAGCAAGGCCUUCAAAAAUGAAAUUAUGAACAAAUAAAUGGAAAUAAAUGAAUUUAAACAUAGGCUAAUUUCCUUUCCCUUUCUCACGGUAGAUAUUAUUUUGGUCAAGAUUUGUUGUUAGUUACUUAUAUCUAUCUCAAAUUCACUUGAAAUUCAUCUCAUUAUAUCCAUAUAUCUAUUUUACAAAUUUUUUUUUCAAACACUUAGUGUUAUAUUGAAAAUCAUUUUUAUAAUUUAUGUUAUUACAAAUUUAAUGAUUUUAUAUAAAAAAAACAUACCUUUAGGUUUGAUUUUUUUUGGUAGGUCUAAGGUCUAUGCAAAUGUUAGGUAAGAAUUUUUUAUUUGAGAAUUAAAUGUGAAUAUGAUUUCUACUUGCAUUAGAGAAUGCAAAUGUGUUCUAUAUUUGUGUUAUGGUGGUGAAAUUGGGAGAUCUGUGUGAAUUGGAGGCCUAAUAGAGGCCAAAUGUGCUUUGGAGAAUGAUAUUGGAUAUUUGAAGUAUUACUACAACUGUUUUCAAUUUAGAUUUGACACUUUUAUAGGGAGGUGUUGCCAAAUCUCUCUCUCCAUUUCUUUUCCGAUUGGCGCAAUGAUAGAGUGUGAGCUGCCUUCGUUUUUCUGAAUGGAGUGGCUCCACCACAGUCUCCUUCAAUAUUUUAUUUCAAUUUUCUGGCGAGACCAAGGACCGACCGGUUAGACUCUUCUACCGCUCCCUCCUCCUCUCUUGUUGAACGAAAAGCAGGCCACAGGUCCAAGAGUUGAGCUAAUGGGAUGGAGAAGAGACAUUUUCGCUGAUAACGUGACUCUCCGGCCAACCUUGAUUGGUUGCUCACCGGAAACUAAGAGGCGGCCGAGGAGACGCUGGACUAAAGCUUGCGAUCUCAGAUCACGUUACCCAAGAGAAAAGGAAAGUCUUUUUUGUGGGUUUGGUUCAAUUAGCUAAUUCUAGAAGGUUUUUAGUUUGGGUUAGUAAUUUUUUAUGGUUUCGGUUGAAACAGUCCAAUUAGCUAAUUCUAUAAGGGUAGAAUUGUCUUUUUCUUUUCUUUUCUUUGACCUUAAUUUAUGAGGUAGACUAGGCUAAUUUUGGACGGAGGAAGAUACUUGCGUAACAGAUAGUUAAUUUAGGGAGGUUUGUGUUAGUCUUAAAAUAUUAAAGGAGACAUAUAUAAAUAUGGCUAUAUUUUAGGAAGAUAAUUUUUUUUGUCCUUUAUCCUUUUAACCUACUGCACAUUAUGUUUUUUUUUUUCUUUUGCAUUUUUUCUUCUUCUUCUUCUUCUUUAUGGCAGGCGUGAAAUCUGCCUCCGACGGCAGGAUUGGCAUAAGAGUUGUUGUUGAUAGCUUCACCGGAUUUGAUUCCAUUGCUGUUUCUGUGUUUUGUUUCUGUUCUUCUUCUUCUUAUUAUUAUCUCGAUUUAAAUUCUAUUUUCAUUUUUGUUCUUCUUCUUUUCUUCUUAUCUAGAUUUGAGUUCAAUAUAAAAUAUUUUGAUUUCAACUACCAUAUAAUUGUCACAAUUAUGAAUGUUUUUGGACCAAAUUUUAAGCACAUACUUCAAAUCAGUUUGUAUAUUCAAUAAUGUCAUUCCUAAAGUACUUAUUAGCAGUCAUAAAAC